rnacentral:rRNA from 1 species
CCGGUUGAUCCUGUUGGAGGUCACUGCUAUUGGGAUCCGACUAAGUCAUGUGAGUCGAGAGGGUUUGGUCCUCGGUAGACUGCUCAGUAACACGUGGAUAAUCUGCCCUUAGGAGGAGGAUAAUUUUGGGAAAUUGAGAAUGAUAUACCAUAGAUCUAAGAGGUUGGAAUGUAUUUAGAUUGAAAGUUCCGGCGCCUAAGGAUGAGUUUGCGGAUUAUUAGGUGUAGUCAGGGUAAGGAUUUGACUAGCCUAUAACGGAUAUGGGUUGUGAGAGUAAUAAUCCGGAGAUGAUAUUUGAGAUAUGAUAUUGGGUUUUAUGGGGUGUAGUAGGUGUGAAAUUUUUAUAAUGUGUGAAAGUGUGAUGAGGGGAUCCCAAGUGCUUGCACUUAAGUGUAAGCUGUUUCUUUGUUUAAAUGCAGAGAGAGUAAGGGCUGGGUAAGACGGGUGCCAGCCGCCGCGGUAAUAUCUGCAGCUCAAGUGGUGACCGCUAUUAUUGGGCCUAAAAUGUUCGUAGCCUGCUGAGUAAAUGCUUGGGUAAAAUUGUGCCGUUUAAUGGUACAAAUUCCGGGUAGACUACUCAGCUUGAGACCGGGAGAAGCUAGAGGUACUCCUGGGGUAGAGGUGAAAUUUUGUAAUCCUGGGGGGACCAUUAGUGGUGAAGGUGUUUAGCUAGAAUGGGUCUGACGGUGAGGAACGAAAUCCUGGGGCGCAAACCGGAUUAGAUACCCGGGUAGUCUAGGGCGCAAAUGCUGCUUGUUUGAUGUUAGCUGGGCUUCGAGCUCAGCUAGUGUCGGAGAGAAGUUGUUAAGUAAGCUGCCUGGGAAGUACGAUUGUAAGAUUGAAAUUUAAAGGAAUUGGCGGGGGAGCACAGCAACGGGUGGAGCGUGCGGUUUAAUUGGAUUUAAUGCCGGAAAACUUAUUGGAGGUGGUGGUUAUAUGAAGGUUAGGUUGAUGACCUUGCCUGAUUUUUUGAGAGGUGGUGCAUGGCCGCCGUCAGUUCGUACCGUAAGGUGUUCUGUUAAGUCAGAUAACGAACGAGACCCUCAUCCUUAAUUGCUAUUGAUAACUCUGGUUGUCAAGCAUAUUAAGGAGACCGCUGGCGAUAAGUCAGAGGAAGGCGAGGGCAACGGUAGGUCAGUAUGUUUUUGAAUCUUUUGGGUUACACGCGCGCUACAAAGGCCAGGAUAAUGGGUUCCAACACCGUAAGGCGAUGGUAAUCUUGAAACCUGGUCAUAGUUCGGAUUGAGGAUUGUAAUUUAUCCUCAUGAAGCUGGAAUCCGUAGUAAUUGCGGAUCAACAUCCCGCGGUGAAUAUGCCCCUGCUCUUUGUAUACACCGCCCGUCAAACCAUGCGAGUUGGGUCAAGGUGAGGAUGUAGUAUUUUGUUACGUUCAAACUUGGGCUUAGCAAGCGGGGUUAAGUCGUAAUAAGGUAUCCGUA